GCCGCGAUGUUGGAACUGGUAGACAAGCGAGUCUCAAAAACUCGUGGUGUUAAUACACCGUGUCGGUUCGAAUCCGACUCGCGGCA
rnacentral:tRNA from 2 species